rnacentral:rRNA from 1 species
UUCCCUACGGGAGGCAGCAGUGAGGAAUAUUGGUCAAUGGACGAGAGUCUGAACCAGCCAAGUAGCGUGAAGGAUGACUGCCCUAUGGGUUGUAAACUUCUUUUAUAAAGGAAUAAAACGAGGCACGUGUGCCUUUUUGCAUGUACUUUAUGAAUAAGGAUCGGCUAACUCCGUGCCAGCAGCCGCGGUAAUACGGAGGAUCCGAGCGUUAUCCGGAUUUAUUGGGUUUAAAGGGUGCGUAGGCGGGCUUUUACGUCAGCGGUAAAAAUUCGGGGCUCAACCCCGUCCGGCCGU